UGGGGAAUAUUGCACAAUGGAGGGAACUCUGAUGCAGCGACGCCGCGUGAACGAAGAAGGCUUUCGAGUCGUAAAGUUCUUUUAUAUGGGAAGAUAAUGACGGUACCAUAAGAAAAAGCCCCGGCUAACUACGUUCCAGCAGCCGCGGUAAUACGUAGGGGGCUAGAGUUGUCCGGAAUCACUGGGCGUAAAGGGUUCGCAGGCGGAAAUGCAAGUCAGGUGUAAAAGGCAGUAGCUUAACUACUGUAAGCAUUUGAAACUGCAUAACUUGAGAAGAGUAGAGGUAAGUGGAAUUUUUAGUGUAGCGGUGAAAUGCGUAGAUAUUAAAAAGAAUACCGGUGGCGAAGGCGACUUACUGGGCUCAUUCUGACGCUGAGGAACGAAAGCGUGGGUAGCAAACAGG
rnacentral:rRNA from 1 species